rnacentral:rRNA from 1 species
CAGUCGCCGCGGGAAUACGAGGGGGGCAAGCGUUGUUCGGAAUUAUUGGGCGUGAAGGGUGCGUAGGCGGUUCAGCAAGUCUCGUGUGAAAUCUUCGGGCUCAACCCGAAGUCUGCACGGGAAACUACUGGGCUUGAGUAAUGGAGAGGUGAGUGGAAUUUCCGGUGUAGCGGUGAAAUGCGUAGAUAUCGGAAGGAACACCUGUGGCGAAAGCGGCUCACUGGACAUUUACUGACGCUGAUGCACGAAAGCUAGGGGAGCAAACAGGAUUAGAUACCCGGUAGUCCCUGUCUCUUAUACA